CACUCACAGGCAUCACGCACGGCCUUAUCCUUUUCGGUCAGGCAUCUUUCUCUUCACCCCUUAUUCACACACACGCAGAUAAGCUGCCCUCUCCAUUUCCCUGAGCCGCUCUCUCCCGAUCCUUCGAUUCGUUCGUCAAGCUCCAGUGAAAUCGUGGCAGACGGCCGGCGACACAGAUUGAGGCAUGUCUGGGUUAGGGUUUGAUAAGGGAUUUGAGGCUGGGGGUUAGGAUUCGGGGGAUUUUGGCCGGAUGGCCGACGACGAGGAUGUGAGCAGCUACUCCAAGAUCUACGUGGAGGCCUACACCUCCCUCCUUUCCCUCAGCCUCGGCAUGGUGGAUGAGAAGCUUUAAGCAAGGAGGUAAUCGUGGCCGCCAGGAGAUGGUGAAGGAGGAUGUGUACCAGGUGUAGAUUGAACCUGCUGACACAAACUUCGCCUUCCUUGUGGUAUGCUGGGAAGGAUAACUUUUAUUACAUAUAUACAUAGUCAAACAUGUUGAGGUAAAGUUCAAUUUUUACUAUGCAAAGCUACUACUCCAUUUAGGUAUAUAAUUGCUUUUUAGUAGGUAGUUCUUUCUUCAGUUAGGUGAACCCCUGAUUUCUAUGAGGACAAAUCUAUUUCUUGAGUUAGACAACAUCCUAUUUUAUUAUGGAAGAUGAGAUAAAUUAACAAUUACAUCUAGCUGGAUGCGUACAAAGGUCACACAUUUGCAAAACUUGAGGUAUAUUAUUGUCUAUGUUUUCUUUCCAAAGCAUGCUGUAAUGCACCAUGAUUAGGCAAUAAUCAUCAUUUCAAUAAGGCAGUACUACUAUUGUCAUUAUGCAAUGCUAUUAUUUUGUGGUUCGAUCGGUGAUUUUCUAGACUACAAGUUACUGAUUUUCUAGACUGCAAGUUACUUUAUUGAUUUAGUGUACAGAUUAUCUAGAACUACUUUUUUCAUAUUUAUAUCAUUUAUAAAAAAAAUUUAGUGAUAGAUGCUCUACACAAUUUUAAUAUAUGCAUGAUCUCGGUACAUGUUCCCUUUUUAUUAUGUGAGAGACAUUUUCGAUUGGCUAGUUCUAGCUACUGUGUAAUUAGUAAUAAUGCUCAUACGUGGAAUUUACAGAAUUCACUAUUCUCAAAAGCCAUUAUAAUCCAAUUGUUUGAAUGUAUCGAAUAUUAGAAUAGUUGUUCUUCCCAUAUUAUUCUGAAUACCAACAGCAAACAUAUUUUGCUGCUCUCAAAUUAAACCAUGGUUUUAAUAAAUUUCAAUAUGCAUUUUAAUACUAUCCGACUAGCAUCUAAAAUGUUCACAUGAAGCAAUUUAGAAAAAUUUCUGUUUUUUGCUGAUUAUUAGUACAUAAGCAUCGCAUGCAACUUAUGCUAAGUUCACUAGCAUCUUGGUAGAACUUAUAAGCAUUUAUAAGUAGGAAUUAUGCAACGAUAUUAUUAUAGAUGGGCAAUAAUAUGAUUCCUAAUAAGCAUUUUCUCCAUAUGUAAUAACAAAAAUAUCAACACUAGGUAAGCAUUUAAGCAAUUUAUAUAUAGGAAUUAGGCAAUAAUAUUAUUAUAGAUGGGCAAUAAUAUGGUUCCCGAUAAGCAUUUCCCCCCAAUUUAUUGUUUGUGUCUGGUUUGAUGGUUAGUUGUACAAAUAGGCAUGAACAGGCUCACACAAGGCUUGAAUUGGGUGAUUUGCUGCUUAUAAAUAUUGAUUCAAUUCUUUUUAUUGCUAGUUAGCUGUCAUCAAUUUAUGCGAUUUUGCUGGUUAUCAAUACUGAUUCAAUUCCUUGUUUUGCUGGUUAGCUGUCCUCAUCAAUUUAGGCAAUUUGUUGGUAUAUUAAUACUGAUUCAAUUCCUUGUUUUGGUGCCAUAGCAGGCUUACACAAAUUUGAUGAUGGCUCCACUCCAUAUGUUUUUAGUGCUAAAGAAUGAGGUCUGAAGAUUUAUGUAUGAAUGUUUAGAUGGGUGAAAAUUACCGUUGUAUAUGUUUUAAUUUUUUAGAGUUCUUCAUAAAUUUGCUUAAUUAGUCUCAAAAAGUUGUUUCAUGUAACUGUUGAGUUGAAUGGUAGUAUUAGUGAAGUAGAAAUAACGUAACGUGAGCAGAUAAGGAGGGAGGUGUGGUUGUAAUUACGGCUGGCUGGUAUGCUUUCUUUUCAUAAAUGCAUUUCUUAAUAGCUGAUGCUUGCAUUGUCAAUGUUCAAAAUAUAAUAGUUCUACCUUUUUUUCUAAGAUUUCUUAGCUGGGGUGGUCCAAGGUGCAUUUUUGUUUUCGGGGCAUCAAAUAUGUAACUUUUUUGCUAAUGCUUCCAGGGCAUCAAAUGUGUAUUUUUAUUCAGUUCUAUGUUUUCAUGGGUCUUGAACAAUAUGCAAUUGGGGCGGUCCAGUUUAGAAUCUAGACAAUUUACUGUAUGUCUACGAAGCAUUUUGCAUCUAAUUUAGAAGCAAUUCUUAUAUGAGCUACUAGGCAGUUUUGGUUAUGCAAGUAGGAUAACCUACUUUAGUGUAUGCAUGCCAAUCUUUUCUAUAUUUAAACUAUGAGCAAUUCUAACAGGCAAGGUCAAGAAGUAUCUCGCCAAGACGGACAGGGCUGUGGAUUACGACUUCUAUGACGAUAACAACCUACGCUACAUCCUCUUCAAGUCGUCGUUCAGCUGCCGCCCCCUCAUCGGCUGUCGUCCGCCCCUCGGGCUCGGUUAUAUAUGAUGUUGCUUCGUGCUCCUACUUGUUGGAAGAAUGUGGGGAAGCACACCCUCUGCAUCGGCGGGAGCAGCAGCCCGAACUACCUGCAGCAAUGUUGCGCCACUUGAUUUGGUCGAUUUGGUUUCUAUCAAGAUGAACGAGGACCGUGUGAUUCUAUUAUUGUUGUUGACGUUGCCAUCUAUUUUUGGUUGGUGAUUGUUGCAGUAAAGAUGCUGCAAUUGGUGAUUUUUUGAUGACAACAACUAUCAGGAGGAACAAUGUCGUGGUGUGGUAAACCACAGCCGGGUGGCGGAAUGCACCCGCCUAAGCCCAGAGGGUGAGUACUCGGGGGUUAGCUAGGACUAGUUCGAUUU